rnacentral:pre_miRNA from 13 species
CCCGCCGACCCCCCGGUCCCGCCCCCGCCCCAGCAGCACACCGUGGUUUGUACGGCGAUGCGGCCGCGUCCAAACCACGCUGUGUUGUUAGAGCGAGGGCGGGGGAGGCAGCGCGUGGGGGU